AUACGCAGGGUGCGAGCGUUACUCGGAGUCACUGGGCGUAAAGCGUCCGUAGGCGGUCGGGGAAGUCGGGUGUGAAAGCCCCGGGCUCAACCUGGGAAGUGCACCCGAUACUGCUCGACUCGAGUGCGGGAGAGGAUGGCGGAAUUCCCGGUGUAGCGGUGAAAUGCGUAGAGAUCGGGAGGAACACCAGUGGCGAAGGCGGCCAUCUGGCCCGCAACUGACGCUGAGGGACGAAAGCGUGGGGAGCAAACAGGAUUAGAUACCCUAGUAGUCC
rnacentral:rRNA from 1 species